rfam:Clostridiales bacterium KA00274 genomic scaffold Scaffold1, whole genome shotgun sequence.
GCUGGAAUAGCUCAGUCGGUAGAGCAACUGAUUCGUAAUCAGUAGGUCGUCAGUUCGAUUCUGAUUUCCAGCU